CUGUGAGGGUGCUGAGGCGCUGGCACAGGGUGCCCAGAGAAGCUGUGGCUGCCCCAUCCCUGGCAGUGCUCAAGGCCAGGUUGGACAGGGUUUGGAGCAAGCCGCUCUAGUGGAAGGUGUCCCUGCCUGUGGCAGGGGUUGGGACUGGAUGAGCUUUAAGGUCCCUUCCAACACAAACCAGUCUGGGACUCUA